GAUAGAGCCUUCCCCUUCGGGGGACAAAGUGACAGGUGGUGCAUGGUUGUCGUCAGCUCGUGUCAUGAGAUGUUGGGUUAAGUCCCGCAACGAGCGCAACCCUUAGCUUAGUUGCCAUCAUUAAGUUGGGCACUCUAGGUUGACUGCCGGUGACAAACCGGAGGAAGGUGGGGAUGACGUCAAAUCAUCAUGCCCCUUAUGAUUUGGGCUACACACGUGCUACAAUGGACAAUACAAAGGGCAGCUAAACCGCGAGGUCAUGCAAAUCCCAUAAAGUUGUUCUCAGUUCGGAUUGUAGUCUGCAACUCGACUACAUGAAGCUGGAAUCGCUAGUAAUCGUAGAUCAGCAUGCUACAGUGAAUACGUUCCCGGGUCUUGUACACACCGCCCGUCACACCACGAGAGUUUGUAACACCCGAAGCCGGUGGAGUAACCAUUUAUGGAGCUAGCCGUCGAAGGUGGGACAAAUGAUUGGGGUGAAGUCGUAACAAGGUAGCCGUAUCGGAAGG
rnacentral:rRNA from 1 species